UAAAGGCUGGGGGGCGCUGGCCUGAAAAAGGUUGAGAAACACUGGUCUAACCUGAACAUUAUAUAAUUUAAUAAAUCUAGUUGUAUCAAAUUUUUCCCCAAAACUGCUAAAACAUUGAUAAAUAUGAUAAACAUUACAAAAGAGGGUAAUACGGUUAAAUAUACUGCUCAAAAAAAUAAAGGGAACACUUCAGUGUUCACUUAAAUGUUAAAGUGUUCCCUUUAUUUUUUUUAGCAGUAUAAAUAUUUCAUAGAAGUGUUUCAAAAGAACCAAUUUUUCCAAGGUUAAAAUUGUUGAACUUUUUGGAUUUAAAACCAUGAUGAGAAUAAAAUAAGUCAGUUAAAUAUGGAGUGACAGGGUUAACUUUAUUCUUGUAAAAAAAAAACAGGGUAAUCAUUAUAUGAGGGUUUAAAAUUAGAAGAAAAUAUGAGGAUUCAAACUAAAUUGGUCCAAAUUGGGAUUUACAAACAAGCAAUUAUGGAACUGCUUAAAGCGGUUCAAACAGAUUGACAGAAUAAAACUAAAAAUCUAGUCCUAUGUGUAAUUGUUGAUCCAAGGUAAUAAUGUCUAAACAUUUUUCAUAAUCAUAAUUUACAGUGUUUGGUUUGAGACAAAACCAGGGUUGUCUUUUACUACAUGGAAGGAAUAUAUUACAAGGGAUCUUAAUUUAUCACGUAUCAUUAACGUUUCACACUAUUGACAAUAUGUUACAAGCUUGUAGUGUAGCAGGCUACUCCUUGUAAAAUGAGGACUAUUUGAUUAAAUUCGAUUAAAAUAACAAAAGCAAAAGAUUUAUAUAUGGUUUAAGAUUUCUGGUAAAGUUUCUAUUAGGGAUAAUUCAAAUGAUAUUCCUUUGAUAAAGCAUGACUGUGGGCAGUUUUGCACAUUCAUUUYAUAAUCUGAUCCUUUACAUGAUUUUUUGUUUGGUUUCUGAUUUUGUCUGAUCCUAUGAAUAUGGCAACACUUAAAACAAGCAAUGUUAUUUUUGAAGGUUAAAAUGUGUUACUUAAUUUAAGCAUUUCUUUAACUAUUUAGAGGAGAACUUAAAUAAAAGAUGUUAUUGAUAUAUCGAUGCUCUAUUGGCUUAGUUUAAAAAAAAAAAAGAAAAAACAUUAUGAUGAUGCACAAUCUGAAAGAAUCUUCCUUGCUCUCCUCAUCACCUGUGGAUGCUGCUGCUCCCUGCCUGAGGUCCUUGGCUGUUCAGUGCAUCACCUCCAACAUAGAGAAGAGCAGUGGUACCAAUAAAACCCCACCUGCCCAUCAGAUGGUUUCCCAGAACCGUGGAACUCCGGCAUUCCAGAGUUUAAGGGCAGUACUAGUAUCUAGUGACAAAAAUAUAUGUUUUCCUUCACUUUAAUUUUCUUUAUAUAAUCCAUUGUUUUCGCUUUUUGUUGUGUUUUUUCUAUUGCAGAAGGAAGUCCAAUCCUUUCUUGGUGUGCUGGGAUGCGAGACUGUGGGCGCCUUCCACGAAUGGUGGACCAGUUUACAGCUGAAACGCCACACUGAAGCCUCGCGGGCCUGUCGGGGUUUCCUAUCGAGCUGCACCGGCUCUACAUCUGGACACACGCAGAAACUGAUUUGACGUUGAUAGGUCUCGCUAUAGAGAGACUGAUAUGAUUAGAUUUUAUUACUAUUAUUACAUUUUACUUAGAAAGCAGUUUUACUCGUUUCCUCAUCAUAGUUCAUUCAUACCAGUGUAUUUUGACUGUGCUGCCUUGAUCCUGAUUUAUUGGUUUGCUGUGUUCGUUGUAUGUUCUGUGACUUUCAAGACUCAUUACUUCUAAGCUUCUCUUACCAUUUGAUUUAACAUUGCAUCCUUUCURUGGUUCAUUAACUUUUAAAUAUUACCUUAAAAUUUCAAAUAAGUUUGGUUUAUUAACGUACUAAUAGAUCGUUUUACGCAUUAUUCCUUAUUGCUUUUGUCAACAUUAAAAGAUAGUAUCUUAACAUUUCUAAUUUUACAUUUUAUUAACGUUUCAGUAAUAUCUACCUUUUAUUCAUUUUACCUUUUAUUAAAUUUGGUUCCUGUUUGAGUUCUUAACUUUUAAAACAUAUAUUAAUCUAACAUUUUGUUGACUUUUUGCCUAUUACCCAACACUUUAUUGAUUUUGCAUUUUAGUAACUCUUACUCAUUUACAUUUUAUUCAUUUGAAUAUAUUAGAACAACACUUUAUUCCUUUUUGCAAUUCCCUCAAUUUAACUUUUAACCAUUUCAUGUGUCAUUAAAUGUAACAUUUAUCUCUUUUAACUUUUAUUACUUAAAAAAAAGGGAACACAUUUUCAGACAUGCUGUUAGACAAAGGCCCAUAGUAAAGAGUUACAUGUUUGAUUCUGUUAGACACCAAGGUCCAUUUCUCAC